AUUGAACGCUGGCGGAAUGCUUUACACAUGCAAGUCGAGCGGCAGCGCGGCCUUCGGGCUGGCGGCGAGCGGCGAACGGGUGAGUAAUGCAUCGGAACAUGCCCAGUCGUGGGGGAUAACACUUCGAAAGAAGUGCUAAUACCGCAUACGUCCUGAGGGGGAAAGCGGGGGAUCGCAAGACCUCGCGCGAUUGGAGUGGCCGAUGUCAGAUUAGCUAGUUGGUGGGGUAAAGGCCUACCAAGGCGACGAUCUGUAGCUGGUCUGAGAGGAUGAUCAGCCACACUGGGACUGAGACACGGCCCAGACUCCUACGGGAGGCAGCAGUGGGGAAUUUUGGACAAUGGGGGCAACCCUGAUCCAGCCAUUCCGCGUGAGUGAAGAAGGCCUUCGGGUUGUAAAGCUCUUCGGCAGGAACGAAACGGUGGGCUCUAACAUAGUCCGCUAAUGACGGUACCUGAAGAAGAAGCACCGGCUAACUACGUG
rnacentral:rRNA from 1 species